rnacentral:rRNA from 1 species
GGUCACUGCUAUCGGUGUUCGUCUAAGCCAUGCGAGUCAUAUGUUCUUUGGAACAUGGCGUACUGCUCAGUAACACGUGGAUAACCUGCCCUUGGGUCCGGCAUAACCCCGGGAAACUGGGGAUAAUACCGGAUAACGCAUAUAUGCUGGAAUUCUUUAUGCGUGAAACGGAUUCGUCUGCCCAAGGAUGGGUCUGCGGCCUAUCAGGUAGUAGUGGGUGUAAUGUACCUACUAGCCGACGACGGGUACGGGUUGUGAGAGCAAGAGCCCGGAGAUGGAUUCUGAGACAUGAAUCCAGGCCCUACGGGGCGCAGCAGGCGCGAAAACUUUACAAUGCGGGAAACCGUGAUAAGGGGACACCGAGUGCCAGCAUCAUAUGCUGGCUGUCCGGGUGUGUAAAAUACACCUGUUAGCAAGGGCCGGGCAAGACCGGUGCCAGCCGCCGCGGUAACACCGGCGGCCCGAGUGGUGAUCGUGAUUAUUGGGUCUAAAGGGUCCGUAGCCGGUUUGGUCAGUCCUCCGGGAAAUCUGACAGCUCAACUGUUAGGCUAUCGGAGGAUACUGCCAGACUUGGAACCGGGAGAGGUAAGAGGUACUACAGGGGUAGGAGUGAAAUCUUGUAAUCCCUGUGGGACCACCUGUGGCGAAGGCGUCUUACCAGAACGGGUUCGACGGUGAGGGACGAAAGCUGGGGGCACGAACCGGAUUAGAUACCCGGGUAGUCCCGGCCGUAAACGAUGCUCGCUAGGUGUCAGGCAUGGCGCGACCGUGUCUGGUGCCGCAGGGAAGCCGUGAAGCGAGCCACCUGGGAAGUACGGCCGCAAGGCUGAAACUUAA